AGCUGGAUUCGCUAGUAAUCGCGCAUCAGCCAUGGCGCGGUGAAUACGUUCCCGGGCCUUGUACACACCGCCCGUCAAGCCAUGGGAGUCGGGAGUGCCUGAAGUUCGUGACCGUCACAGGAGCGACCUAAGGCAAGACCGAUGACUGGGGCUAAGUCGUAACAAGGUAUC
rnacentral:rRNA from 1 species